UGGGGAAUUUUGGACAAUGGGCGAAAGCCUGAUCCAGCAAUGCCGCGUGUGUGAAGAAGGCCUUCGGGUUGUAAAGCACUUUUGUCCGGAAAGAAAUCCUUGGCUCUAAUACAGUCGGGGGAUGACGGUACCGGAAGAAUAAGCACCGGCUAACUACGUGCCAGCAGCCGCGGUAAUACGUAGGGGUGCAAGCGUUAAUCGGAAUUACUGGGUGUAAAGCGUGCGCAGGCGGUUUGCUAAGACCGAUGUGAAAUCCCCGGGCUCAACCUGGGAACUGCAUUGGUGACUGGCAGGCUAGAGUAUGGCAGAGGGGGGUUAGAAUUCCACGUGUAGCAGUGAAAUGCGUAGAGAUGUGGAGGAAUACCGAUGGCGAAGGCAGCCCCCUGGGCCAAUACUGACGCUCAUGCACGAAAGCGUGGGGGAGCAAACAGGAUUAGAUACCCUGGUAGUCCACGCCCUAAACGAUGUC
rnacentral:rRNA from 1 species